CUCAGAUCUCUGCCUCUGGGGUAAGGGUCCAAGGGCAAGUCCAACAACAACCUGUGUCCAUGAGCACUACUUCUCUCUGGGGUCCUUCCUUGUUGCUUUGCCUUUGUGGGUACUGGAGGCGGAGCCUCUGGCUGGCUAAGGAGCCCCGCCUCUGCUUCCAUCCAAUCACGUUCCCUGCCUCCGGGGGUUGGGCCGACGGCUUCUCUCUGAGCUGCUAGCUCCAGCACUAGGCUCCCAGCCAGGGACGAUGCGCUGCUGCCGACGCUGCUGCUGCUGCUGGUGCUGCUGCCGCCACUGCCGGCGGCCACACCGUGCCCUGAAGCUGUUGCUGUUGCUGCCACUUGUCCUCGUACCUCCCCUAGCAGCAGCCACAGAGGGCCCAAACCGCUGUGACACCAUAUACCAGGGCUUUGCUGAGUGUCUCAUCCGCUUGGGAGACGGCAUGGGCCAAGGAGGCGAGCUGGAGACUGUUUGCAGAUCCUGGAAUGACUUCCAUGCCUGUGCCUCACAAGUCCUGUCUGGCUGCCCAGAGGAGGCGGCUGCUGUGUGGGAGUCACUACAGCAAGAAGCUCGCCGGGCCCCACACCCAGAUAACUUACACACUCUGUGCAGUGCCCCAGUGCGUGUCUGGGAGCACGGUGCAGGCUCGGAGACCAAUCAGGAGACCCUGCGGGCGACAGCGCCUAUAUCCGUCCCAGCCCCAGCACCCCCACUGCUGGCCGCUGCUCUGGCGCUUGCUUGCCUCCUGGGGCCUCUGGCCUAGCUGGUUUGGUCAGGUAGCAGCUCCUGUGCCUGCAGCCCUGCACCAGUGGCCGCUCUCCUGGCUCUCCAGAGUGCGCAUGGCUUUCAUUAAAGUUCCCUGCUAAUGGCCUGGGAAGGCCACAGAUAGCCCAAGUCCUUGGACCCCAUCCCCCUCCGUGGGAGAUCAGAAGAGUUCCUGGCCGGCUGUGGCAGCCCUUUGGAGAGUGAAUCAGAGGAUGGAAGAUCUCUCUCACUCUUCUCUCCCUCUCCUUUCCCCUGUUGUUGCCUUUCAAUUAAUAAAUUUCUUAAAAAAAAUUAUGAAAUGCAUGAAGUCUGUAUACCUUAAAUAAAAGGUUUCUGGGGGGGGGGGACAAAGACAACAACAAAAUAUUUUUUUUCUGUCAGUAGUCCCACGACUGACUUCACCAAUUCACAAGUUAAACCAUUUACAACUCUGCUGUCAUGGAGGCCAAAUUUAACACAUCCGAGGGCUGACAUUGUGAAUUACAGUUGUAAACAAUAGAUUUGUUAAACUUCGGUCAAUCCUUUGUGGAGUUCCAGAGGCACUUCCAGAAACCCCUGCUUCUCACUAGAGUCCUCUUUCUGCUAAAAAGUCUUCCUUCUUCCCCCAGUCUCUGCUUUUU